UACAGAGGUGGCAAGCGUUGUUCGGAAUUACUGGGCGUAAAGGGCGCGUAGGCGGUUCGAUAAGUCCCGUGUGAAAUCCCUCGGCUCAACUGAGGAACUGCACGGGAAACUGACGGGCUUGAGUUCGGGAGAGGGAAGCGGAAUUCCGGGUGUAGCGGUGAAAUGCGUAGAUAUUGGGAGGAACACCAGUGGCGAAGGCGGCUCACUGGACCGGUACUGACGCUGAUGCGCGAAAGCGUGGGGAGCAAACGGG
rnacentral:rRNA from 1 species